GAUGAACGCUGGCGGCGUGCUUAACACAUGCAAGUCGAACGGAAAGGCCCAAGCUUGCUUGGGUACUCGAGUGGCGAACGGGUGAGUAACACGUGGGUGAUCUGCCCUGCACUUCGGGAUAAGCCUGGGAAACUGGGUCUAAUACCGGAUAGGACCACUUCUUGGAUGUUGUGGUGGAAAGUUUUUUCGGUGUGGGAUGAGCUCGCGGCCUAUCAGCUUGUUGGUGGGGUAAUGGCCUACCAAGGCGUCGACGGGUAGCCGGCCUGAGAGGGUGUACGGCCACAUUGGGACUGAGAUACGGCCCAGACUCCUACGGGAGGCAGCAGUGGGGAAUAUUGCACAAUGGGCGCAAGCCUGAUGCAGCGACGCCGCGUGGGGGAUGACGGCCUUCGGGUUGUAAACUCCAUUCGCUAGGGACGAAGCGUUUUGUGACGGUACCUGGAGAAGAAGCACCGGCUAACUACGUG
rnacentral:rRNA from 1 species